UACGUAGGGGGCAAGCGUUGUCCGGAUUUAUUGGGCGUAAAGAGCGUGUAGGCGGCCAGACAGGUCCGUUGUGAAAACUCGAGGCUCAACCUCGAGAUGUCGAUGGAAACCGUCUGGCUAGAGUCCGGAAGAGGAGUGUGGAAUUCCUGGUGUAGCGGUGAAAUGCGCAGAUAUCGUGAGGAAGACCAGUGGCGAAGGCGGGUCUCUGGACAGUUCCUGACGCUGAGGCGCGAAGGCCAGGGGAGCAAACGGG
rnacentral:rRNA from 1 species